rnacentral:rRNA from 1 species
CUUUAGCGGCGGACGGGUGAGUAACGUGUGGGCAACCUGCCUUUUACUGGGGAAUAAUCGUUGGAAACGACGACUAAUACCGCAUACGGUUCUUAGAAGGCAUCUUCUGAGAAAGAAAGGAUUAAUUCGGUAAAAGAUGGGCCCGCAUCUGAUUAGCUAGUUGGUGAGAUAAUAGCCCACCAAGGCAACGAUCAGUAGCCGACCUGAGAGGGUGAUCGGCCACAUUGGGACUGAGACACGGCCCAAACUCCUACGGGAGGCAGCAG